UACGGAGGGUGCAAGCGUUAUCCGGAUUCAUCGUGGGUUUAAAGGGUGGCGUAGGUGGGCAGGGUAAGUCAGUGGUGAAAUCUCCGGGCUUAACUCGGAAACUGCCGUUGAUACUAUCUGUCUUGAAUAUCGUGGAGGUUAGCGGAAUAUGUCAUGUAGCGGUGAAAUGCUUAGAUAUGACAUAGAACACCCAUUGCGAAGGCAGCUAACUACACGAUCAUUGACACUGAGGCACGAAAGCGUGGGGAGCAAAACAGG
rnacentral:rRNA from 1 species